rnacentral:rRNA from 1 species
UACGUAGGUGCAAGCGUUAUCCGGAAUUAUUGGCGUAAAUGAGCUCGUAGGCGGUUUGAUUCGCGUCUGCUGUGAAACUGGGGCUCAACCCCAGCCUGCAGUGGGUACGGGCAGACUAGAGUGCGGUAGGGGAGAUUGGAAUUCCUGGUGUAAGCGGUGGAAUUGCGCAGAUAUAGGAGAACACCGAUGGCGAAGGCAGAUCUCUGGCCGUAACUGACGCUG